ACCAGAUGACAGCCAGCAAAAAAUGGUCAUCUCAGUCCUACAAGCACAAGUGAUUGGAUUUUGCCAAUAACUAAAUUUAUGAGGCCCUCUUCAUAAAACAUGAACUUUGAAAUGGUUUCUCCAACUCUCCUACUGAAAUUUUUCUCUUUUAGAAGGAAAUCUUAGUGUCUCCUGGGGAUUUUAUUCCCACCCAAGGUUU
rnacentral:lncRNA from 1 species